rnacentral:rRNA from 1 species
UACGGAGGGUGCAAGCGUUAUCCGGAUUUACUGGGUUUAAAGGGUGCGUAGGUGGGUUGGUAAGUCAGUGGUGAAAUCUCCGUGCUUAACAUGGAAACUGCCAUUGAUACUACUGGUCUUGAAUUAUCUGGAGGUGAGCGGAAUAUGUCAUGUAGCGGUGAAAUGCUUAGAUAUGACAUAGAACACCAAUUGCGAAGGCAGCUCGCUACAGGUUGAUUGACACUGAGGCACGAAAGCGUGGGGAUCAAACAGG